rnacentral:tRNA from 1 species
GCCCAGGUGGUGAAAUCGGUAGACACGCCAGCUUGAGGGGCUGGUGGCCUUAAGGCCGUGCAAGUUCGAGUCUUGUUCUGGGCACAA